rnacentral:lncRNA from 1 species
CCCAGGUGUGGCCAGGAACGCCCAGGUAUAGCCUGGACCCCCCCCAGGUGUGGCCAGGAACGCCCAGGUAUAGCCUGGACCCCCCCAGGUGUGGCCAGGAACUCCCACGUGUAGCCAGGACCCCCACAGGUGUGACCAGGACCCCGUUAGGUGUGGCCCUGGCCCCCCCAGGUAUGGCCUGGACCCCCCCCAGGUGUGGCCCUGAGCCCUGCACCGACCCCACAGUGCAGGGUGGGCUGAGGGCAGGGAGGUCUGUGCAGGACAGAUGUGUAAAUGGACAGGUGUGUAAAUGGACAGGUGUGUGAGGUACAGGUGUGUAAAUGGACAGGUGUGUAAAUGGACAGGUGUGUGAGGUACAGGUGUGUAAAUGGACAGGUGUGUGAGGUACAGGUGUGUAAAUGGACAGGGAUGUAAAUGGACAGGUGUGUGGCAGGUAUGGCAGGUACAGGUGUGUGUCAGGUACAGGUGUACCAGGUACAGGUGUGUACCAGGUACAGGUGUGUUCCAGGUACAGGUGUACCAGGUACAGGUGUGGCAGGUACAGGUGUGUCAGGUACAGGUAUACCAGGUACAGGUAUACCAGGUACAGGUGUGUCAGGUACAGGUAUACCAGGUACAGGUGUACCAGGUACAGGUAUGCCAGGUACAGGUGUGUCAGGUACAGGUGUGCCAGGUACAGGUGUACCAGGUACAGGUGUGCCAGGUACAGGUGUGCCAGGUGUGCGGCAGGUACCGUGCAUGUUGUAGUCAAAGGUGAGCUCCUCCCCUGCCCGGAUGGGCCGCGUGGCGAAGAGCGCGAUGCGCGGCAGGCGCUGGUCCAGGUUCUCGAUGAACACGUUGUACACCUGCAGGUUGGGGUCACACUGCCCCGCCCGGCAGGUGAGACACACCUGGCAGGUGAGCCCCACCCCCAUGAGCUCCACCCACGGCACCCGAGACACGCCCACACCUGGGGAACAGGUGCUGGAAGCGCCACCCACACGGCAGGUAAGGCCACACCUCUGCACAGGUAA